ACGGUUACCUUGUUACGACUUAGCCCCAGUCACCGAUUUCGCUCUAGGGCGCGCCUCACGGCGACGCACUUCAAGCGCCCUCGGCUCCCAUGGCUUGACGGGCGGUGUGUACAAGGCCCGGGAACGUAUUCACCGCGCCAUGGCUGAUGCGCGAUUACUAGCGAAUCCAGCUUCACGGAGUCGGGUUGCAGACUCCGAUCCGAACUGAGAGUGGAUUUCGGGUUCCGCUCGGCGUCGCCGCCUGGCUUCCCGCUGUACCACCCAUUGUAACACGUGUGUCGCCCCGGACGUAAGGGCCGUGCUGAUUUGACGUCAUCCCCGCCUUCCUCGCGGCUUGCGCCGGCAGUCCGUGCAGAGUCCUCAGCGUUGACUGUUAGCAACUGCACGCGGGGGUUGCGCUCGUUAUGGCACUUAAGCCGACACCUCACGGCACGAGCUGACGACAACCAUGCAGCACCUCGGGGAGUGUCCCGUGGGAAACAGGCGUCUCUGCCUGCGCCACUCCCCGUUUGAGCCCGGGUAAGGUUCCUCGCGUAUCAUCGAAUUAAACCACAUGUUCCUCCGCUUGUGCGGGCCCCCGAUCAUUCCUUUGAGUUUCACCGUUGCCGGCGUAC
rnacentral:rRNA from 1 species